rnacentral:rRNA from 1 species
GAUCCUGGCUCAGGACGAACGCUGGCGGCGUGCUUAACACAUGCAAGUCGAACGGAGCACCCCUUGAUUGAGGUUUCGGCCAAAAUGAUAGGAAUGCUUAGUGGCGGACUGGUGAGUAACGCGUGAGGAACCUGCCUUUCAGAGGGGGACAACAGUUGGAAACGACUGCUAAUACCGCAUGACGCAUUUUGAUCGCAUGGUCGAAAUGCCAAAGAUUUAUCG